rnacentral:lncRNA from 1 species
CCAUCUUUUUUUCACACAUGACAAUGGUUUUCAUAUGGAAUUUUUUGCACCUAGAAGGUGUGUGAUACCUUUUUCUAAUCCUCUUUGGAUUAGAAUUUUAUUAGAUUGAGUUUCAGUUCAAAUUGAUUUGAAAUCAAACAUAAAUCAAGAGUCCAAGUUUUGUGGGACUCUACCUAGCUGCCAACCAGCCUUCUUCUCACAUGCAAAACAAAUUUUUGUGUGAUGUUUUUUGUACCAAUCUAAGUUGUGUCACUUUCAUUUCUGAGUCCCUUAGAUGUGGAUUAAAUCUGGUUUA